CGCGUAGGCGGCAUGGCAAGCGGGAUGUGAAAGCCCUCGGCUCAACCGGGGGAAGUGCAUUCCGAACUGCUUUGCUUGAGUUCGAGAGAGGGUGGUGGAAUUCCCGGUGGAACGGUGAAAUGUGUAGAUAUCGGGAGGAACAUCUGUGGCGAAGGCGGCCACCUGGCUCGAUACUGACGCUGAUGCGCGAAAGCGUGGGUAGCAAACA
rnacentral:rRNA from 1 species